CACGUACAGAUGAAUCCGCGUCCCAUUAGCCAGUUGGUGGGGUAAUGGCCUACCAAAGCGACGAUGGGUAGCCGGCCUGAGAGGGUGACCGGCCACACUGGAACUGAGAGACGGCCCAAACUCCUACGGGAGGCAGCAGUAGGGAAUUUUCGGCAAUGGGGGAAACCCUGACCGAGCAACGCCGCGUGAAUGACGAAGUACUUCGGUAUGUAAAGUUCUUUUAUCAGGGAAGAAUGGCUAGCGCUAGCGGAAAAGCUAGAUUGACGGUACUUGAUGAAUAAGCCCCGGCUAACUAUGUGCCAGCAGCCGCGGUAAUACAUAGGGGGCAAGCGUUAUCCGGAAUUAUUGGGCGUAAAGGGUGCGUAGGUGGUUAAUUAAGUCUUUGGUAUAAGUGCAGUGCUCAACCCGGAGAGUGCAUCUGAAACUGGCAGACUUGAGUAUUGGAGGGGGAGGUGGAAUUCCUAGUGUAGCGGUGAAAUGCGUAGAUAUUAGGAGGAACACCAGUGGCGAAGGCGACUUCCUGGCUUGUAACUGACACUGAGGCGCGAAAGCGUGGGGAUCAAACAGGAUUAGAUACCCUGGUAGUCCACGCCGUAAACGAUGAGUGCUAGGUGUCGGGGGUAUCGACCCCCUCGGUGCCACAGCUAACGCAAUAAGCACUCCGCCUGGGGAGUACGGUCGCAAGACUGAAACUCAAAGGAAUUGACGGGGGCCCGCACAAGCGGUGGAGUAUGUGGUUUAAUUCGACGCAACGCGAAGAACCUUACCAAGGCUUGACAUGCUGGGAACCCUUAAGAGAUAGACUUUCAAGUUUACUUGCACACGGAGACAGGUGGUGCAUGGUUGUCGUCAGCUCGUGUCGUGAGAUGUUGGGUUAAGUCCCGCAACGAGCGCAACCCCUACAGCCAGUUGCCAGCAUUUAGUUGGGAACUCUGGCAGAACUGCCGUUGACAAAACGGAGGAAGGUGGGGAUGACGUCAAAUCAUCAUGCCCCUUAUGUCUUGGGCUACACACGUACUACAAUGGCCUGAACAGAGGGAAGCGAAACUGCGAAGUUAAGCGAACCCCUUAAAACAGGUCCCAGUUCGGAUUGUGGGCUGCAACUCGCCCACAUGAAGUUGGAAUCGCUAGUAAUUGCAGGUCAGCAUACUGCGGUGAAUACGUUCCCGGGCCUUGUACACACCGCCCGUCACACCAUCCGAGUUGG
rnacentral:rRNA from 1 species